CCGACGCCCCGCGGCCUUGGCCCGCACCGCCACGGCUGCCCCGGCUCCCACAUCUGCUAUGCCGCGCCUAUGACGGCCUCGAAGCCGCACGCCCGCGCCCGCCCGCCGACGUCGCCUCAGCCCGCACCGACGCCCGCCCGCGUCGCCUCUGAACGCAACGACGACCGCGCCAAGCCUACACCAAUGCCCGUCGCCCCGAGGUCGCGAGCUGUUGUAGGCGCUGCACGCCUCGGACGGCUCCGGUGGCAGCCUUGGCUGUAGCGGCGCCAGCCCCUCGGACAGCACCACCCCCUUGACCUCCUCCUCCUCCGCGUCCAUCUCAGCCACCACCCCAACGCUGUGACCGCCGCCCACCACAGACUGCGGCCGCCGCCUGACGCCGCGGGCCCGUGCUAGGACGACGGCCACCACUCCAACACCGUGCCCACGGCCCGUCGCGUAGCCUUGGCGCGCCAAGGACCUAGGGAACAACGCCCGCCGCCCCCCCCCCCCGCGCCCCCCCUCCCCCGAUGCCAAAGGGAGCUGAGGGGUUCAGCAGGACGGCCAGCAGACCACCAUGAAGAAGCUGUAGCUAGGGUUAAGGCAAGGCGUGCACGAGGUCCGGCUCGUGCUCAAGGUGCACUUUGUUAUGUAUUGCUCCUGUUAAACUAUUCAAGGAGAAGAAAACGAAGAAGAGUCGAGAAAGAGAGGAGACGCAGUAGGUACAACUAUAAUUUACAAUGGUUGUAUUGUUGUGUCCUUUAUCGGACAAUGCUAUGAGGUUUGCUCUCGUUCCGGCUUAGUGGUCCAUUGGAUCGAUGACUUUUGAGCUUGCCAAACUAUGAUAAUUCUGCUAUGUUAAAAAGCUCAAAUAGCAGUUCUUAGUUAUAUUGUUGCAUUUUGACAUUUACUCCUCACUAGGUGUUUGCUCUGAGUAGCAGUCUAUCACUAUAUUUCUGAUAUUGUCAUUGGCUAGGAGUUAUGCUUCUAAUGUGCUUAUGCUUUAAAUUAUAUGAGAACUUGGAUAUCUGUCCUAUAUCUUUCUAUGACGGUUGAAUGCUGAAUGGAUGGUUCAGAUGGUUUACCUCUGACAAUAUGUCUUGCUGCAGCUACUGGUUUGGGAGUACUUGCAUACAGAGAUUGAGACAUUGCUACAGUUUUGGGUUCAGCCGCUAUUGUUCAGCUUGACAUUGCUACACAUUGAUGAGUUCUUUAAUAAGAAGGUUGCUCCGAAGGAUCUUGUUGGUGAAAUAAAGCAAUUGAACUGUUGAACUGUCCUUGGUUAAAUUCUAGCAAAAUACUAGCAUGUGCGACUCCAGCUGCUGCCACAGCAACAGCUGCACCAGCAGAGGCUGCUACCGUCGUUCCAACAGAAGCAGCUUGAAGCCUUAUAUAGCUUGAAAGUUUCAUUUUAAACUUGAGUAUGACUUAUGGCAUGGACUAUGUUUGAUGUAUGGACUUUGUGGGUUGUAAUCGAUGUAUAAACAUGUGACACUUGUUAUAACAUUUGAUGUAUUUACUAU